rnacentral:rRNA from 1 species
GACGAACGCUGGCGGCGUGCUUAACACAUGCAAGUCGAACGGAAAGGCCCUUCGGGGUACUCGAGUGGCGAACGGGUGAGUAACACGUGGGUGAUCUGCCCUGCACUUUGGGAUAAGCCUGGGAAACUGGGUCUAAUACCGAAUAGGACCACGCGCUUCAUGGUGUGUGGUGGAAAGCUUUUGCGGUGUGGGAUGGGCCCGCGGCCUAUCAGCUUGUUGGUGGGGUAAUGGCCUACCAAGGCGACGACGGGUAGCCGGCCUGAGAGGGUGACCGGCCACACUGGGACUGAGAUACGGCCCAGACUCCUACGGGAGGCAGCAGUGGGGAAUAUUGCACAAUGGGCGCAAGCCUGAUGCAGCGACGCCGCGUGAGGGAUGACGGCCUUCGGGUUGUAAACCUCUUUCAAUAGGGACGAGGCGCCAGUGACGGUACCUAUAGAAGAAGCACCGGCCAACUACGUG